CCUACGGGUGGCAGCAGUGGGGAAUAUUGGUCAAUGGACGAAAGUCUGAACCAGCCAAGUAGCGUGCAGGAUGACUGCCCUAUGGGUUGUAAACUGCUUUUAUGAAGGAAUAAAAUGAGGCACGUGUGCCUUUUUGCAUGUACUUUAUGAAUAAGGACCGGCUAAUUCCGUGCCAGCAGCCGCGGUAAUACGGAGGAUCCGAGCGUUAUCCGGAUUUAUUGGGUUUAAAGGGAGCGUAGAUGGGUUGUUAAGUCAGUUGUGAAAGUUUGCGGCUCAACCGUAGCAUUGCAAUUGGUACUGGCAGUCUUGAGUACAGUUGAGGUAGGCGGAAUUCGUGGUGUAGCGGUGAAAUGCUUAGAUAUCACGAAGAACUCCGAUUGCGAAGGCAGCUUACUAAACUGCCACUGACAUUGAUGCUCGAAAGUGUGGGUAUCAAACAGGAUUAGAUACCCGUGUAGUC
rnacentral:rRNA from 1 species